UUCGCCUUUGCAGACUCCGGCAGCUUUAUCGCCAGAGUCAUUCAAAACUCGCUUUCUUUUUAGUCCCCCACUUCAGAUCACCGGCGUGCCCCACCAUGUCAGACGAAGCUGUAGACACCAGCUCCGAAAUCACCACCAAGGACUUGAAGGAGGAGAAGGAAGUUGUGGAAGAGGCAGAAAAUGGAAGAGAGGCUAACGGGAAUGCGAAUGAGGAAAAUGGGGAGAAGGAGGCUGACAAUGAGGUAGAUGAAGAAGAGGAAGAAGGUGGGGAGGAAGAGGAGGAGGAAGAAGGUGAUAGGAGGAGGAUGGAGAUGAAGAUGAGGAAGCUGAGUCUGCUAAGGGCAAGCGGGCCGCUGAAGAUGAUGAGGAUGAUGAUGUCGAUACCAAGAAGCAGAAGACCAACGAGGAUGAUUAGACAGCAAAAAAGGAAAAGUUAAACUAAAAACACACACACUAAAAAAAAGGCUGCCGUGACCUAUUCACCCUCCACUUCCAGUCUCAGAAUCUAAACCUGGUCACCUUCGAGCAGAGAGGCCGGCCCGCCCGCCCACCCCGGACAGUGCCACCCGCAGAUGACACGACGCGCUCUCCACUACCCAACCCAAACCAUGAGAAAUUGCAACAGGGGAGGAAAAAAGAACCAAAACUUCCAAGGCCCUGCUUUUUUUCUUAAAAGUACUUUAAAAAGGAAAUUUGUUUGUAUUUUUUAUUUACAUUUUAUAUUUUUGUACAUAUUGUUAGGGUCAGCCAUUUUUAAUGAUCUCCGAUGACCAAACCAGCCUUCGGAACGUUCUCUGUCCUACUUUUGACUUUAUUUGUGGUGUGACCAUGUUCAUUAUAAUCUAAAAGGAGAAAAAAAACCUUGUAAAGAAAAGCGAAAACGACAACAGAAAAACAAUUGUAUUCCGAGCAUUCCAGUACCUUUGUUGUGUAUGUACUUAGCUGUACUAUAAGUAGUUGGUUUGUAUGAGAUGGUUAAAAGGCCAAAGAUUAAAAGGUUUUCUUUUUUGUCUAUGAAGUUGCUGUUGA